CUAACUAUCACAUGUUAACAGAACACUGAAAAAUAAUGAACCCUUGGUAAAGGGGGGAAUGUUGUCUAAAUGUUGAGUAUACACAUGGGCAGCAUCCUUCAAUAAUAGGUACAGCAACAGUAUAUCUCUAUAUAAGAAAAAAUGAAUAUAGCAAACGUGCAAGAAAGAGGAGCAGUGUUAGGGUUAAGGAAAAGUAAAUAGAAAAGGAAGGAACUGCAGCAUAUGGAUUAGGAUACCAUAUAGAACAAUAUAGAUAAUAUAGGUAUUUGCACUCAGACUGUAUGCACUCCAGUCUGAGUGCAAAUAUAUGCUGAAUAAGCCCUCAGGAAUAGUUGCCUUCGAGGGCACCUGAAAGUGUAUUUAUUUAGGAAAAACUCGAGGAUGACUAGUAUGCUUGUUUAGUAAGUUGUCAUAAGGUUAAUAUGCAUGAAAGUUGUUCCAUUUGUCCUCCGGGGUGUCUAUAGUACAUUUUACCAAGAAAAAGCAAUGGCAUCCAUUCCAUAAGGCUCAAUAACAGGAAUAUUGUUGAUUUAUAUCAGUGCAAGAAAUUGUUUCCGAUUGCACAUCCAGGGACAAAUAUCUGUCAGUACUAAAGUUCUGCAUUAGUUCUUGCUUUACAUUUCACAAAUGCUCUUUACAGUAAUGUUCUAGAAAUGUUUUAUUGAAGUUGGUUGGCAAGCUAAAACAAGUCAGUUCAGGCAACACCUAACUUAUUAAUUACUUUGAUUCUCUAUUUCUAAAUUGCACAGGAAAUGUAUCCACAAGGGCUUUGCUUUACAUAAUGUUUAUUUGAUUAAACUCCUAAAGGUGCCCAUUGAAAGUGACUUGAGCCUUGUUACAUAUUAUUGCAUUGGAAUACCAACUUAAUUUAAAUAAUACUUCACUGGUUAUAUUAGACCUGCUUAGUAAUUUGACCAGAAAAAACAAAG